rnacentral:rRNA from 1 species
UACGUAGGGUGCAAGCGUUAAUCGGAAUUACUGGGCGUAAAGCGUGCGCAGGCGGUUGUGCAAGACAGAUGUGAAAUCCCCGGGCUCAACCUGGGAACUGCAUUUGUGACUGCACGGCUGGAGUGCGGCAGAGGGGGGAUGGAAUUCCGCGUGUAGCAGUGAAAUGCGUAGAUAUGCGGAGGAACACCGAUGGCGAAGGCAAUCCCCUGGGCCGUAACUGACGCUGAGGAGCGAAAGCGUGGGGAGCGAACAGG